rnacentral:rRNA from 1 species
ACUCUGAUCCAGCCAUGCCGCGUGCAGUGAUGACUGCCCUAUGGGUUGUAAACUGCUCUAUACAGGAGAACACCUCUACGUGUAGAGGCUUGACGGUACUGUAAGAUACGAUCGGCUAACUCCAUG